rnacentral:lncRNA from 1 species
AUGUCUUAUUAUCUAAAUUAUUCUAUAAAUUCCCAAAUAAUUAAUCAAAUCCUCAAAUUAAUAGGGCUGAGGAUUCAAGAAAAACAAGAAAAGACUAGGAUGGCUUAGAAACCCAUCAACUAUUUAAAUUUCCAAAUCUAUGUUAUGUAUUUGAACUUUUCUAUGUAUCGUAUGAAACUUAUGAUUAUCAAUGAAAUAAACUUUAAUUAUUGUCA